UACGUAGGGUGCAAGCGUUGUCCGGAAUUAUUGGGCGUAAAGAGCUCGUAGGCGGUUUGUCGCGUCUGCUGUGAAAACCUAGGGCUUAACCCUGGGCCUGCAGUGGAUACGGGCAGACUAGAGGUAGGUAGGGGAGAAUGGAAUUCCCGGUGUAGCGGUGAAAUGCGCAGAUAUCGGGAGGAACACCGGUGGCGAAGGCGGGUCUCUGGGCCGUAACUGACGCUGAGGAGCGAAAGCGUGGGGAGCGAACAGG
rnacentral:rRNA from 1 species